rnacentral:tRNA from 1 species
GGGCCUGUAGCUCAAUGGCAGAGCAGGUGCCUUUUAAGCACUUGGUUGGGGGUUCGAGUCCCUCCAGGCUCACCA